UUCUGCUGUAUUGUGUCUGCAUUUCUCCCAGAGACGUGUAUAAAUUAGUGUUUAACGAGACGCCAUCUUCCAUAAAUUAUUCACAAAACCUGGGAUUACAAUAUGAGAUCAAAUGCUAGGAAAGAGAGAGCACUCUGCUGGAGGCACAGCCGUCACGUUGUCGUGCUGAUGUGAAAUAAGGCAGGAGCUCGGCGACUCCUCACACUGCUGUGUGGUAAACAGCUAACAGCUAACAGCCCCGCGCCGUUAUCACCCUCGUCUUGGCCUGAGCAUCUAAACGCCUUGGCUUCAUGUCCUCACAACGCUAAUGUUUAAGGCUGCCAUUUGCUGAGCUUACAAAUCCUUUGUGUGUUUGAGGUUCAUCAGAACUGAAACAGCAGUACGAACCAUGAAUAAACUUCACUGUGGAGCUAAACGAUGGAACGUAACGACGGCCGUCUUCUGAACCUGGAAUCACUUCCACUGGAUUCUGAUGUCAUUCCAGCAUCCAGGACCCAACUCCAGAAGUCUGAGACAGGAAUUAUAGCAAAAUGUUUUAUUUGCCUGUUUCAGUUUGAGUGAGUUUUUAUCUUUUGGUGGUGUUUAUUACUGAGGUGACAACCCCAGAUUUAUUUCUCUAUCAUUUAUAUUUUCAUUUGUGCAAGUUUUCCUUUCAGCUAUGAAAAAUGUUGGGAUUUAGAUUUUUAGUUUGUGAUGCAACAAAUCAAACAUACAGUAAAGGGUUUUUAAGGGGAAAGGGGUGAGUAAGACAAAGAGUUACAGACAGACAAACAGACAGACAGACAGACAGGCAGACAGUAAGACAGACAGACAGACUGAUAGACAGACAGAUAAAAAGAUAAGACAGGCGGACAGACAGAUGGAAAGACAGGCAGACAGACAGACACAGACAGAUGGGAAGACAGAAAAACAGACAGAUAGGCAGGCAGGCAGGCAGGCAGAUAGAUAGAUAGAUAGAUAGAUAGAUAGAUAGAUAGAUAGAUAGAUAGAUAGAUAGAUAGAUAGAUAGAUAGAUAGAUAGAUAGAUAGAUAGAUAGAUAGAUAGAUAGAUAGAUAGAUGUAAAUGUGAGCUCUUUCACUGUAUUUUUGUUUUUUGUUUGUUUAUUUUAGUAGAUACUCUUCAUUAAAGUGAUAUAGAUAUUUUAAGGGUUUUAGGUGUGAAUAUAAUGUGCUAGCUACAUUGCUGCAUUAGUAACAUCUCAGCAGGAUUAUUACACUCAGGUCAGGGUGGAAAAUUGUGUAUGUUUUUGGUGUGUGUUUUUGUUUUACUGUAGCGUUCCUUUAUCAGCGCUGAACUUGGUUUGAAUCGUGCUUCACUUUGUGGAGUGUGCGCUUCUGACAAACGCAUAGAUGUAAAUGAUUACAGCAGCACUGUGUGUGUAAGCAGAGAAAAUAACAGUCAUUUAAAUGUGCCUUGAUACUGAUAUAUAUUCAAGUUUUGUUUUUUUUUUGUUUGUUUUUUUGUGAGCGCUUUUCUUCACUUGAAAGCUACAGUUGGCAUACUGUUAGGACAAAAUGAAGCAACAAACAGACGUAAUUUAUAACAACAAGACAUUUAGUGUAAGGUGUCUGUUGGUGUAUAUAAAUAACUGCUUACAGUUUCAGAUGUAUACAUCUCUCUGUCUGUAUGAGAUAUAGAUAACUCUAAUAACCUGUUUGUGCACACACUAUAUAACUGAUUUCAUUUGCAUUCAUCUCAGUUGGUGUCUAAAUCAAAACAACUCAGGUGACCAAGACAAUCCCAGAAAAAACGAAUGGGGAGCCAGUACAUUUACACAAAGUGCUAAAGUGUAGGAUAGAAGGAUGUCGGUUUUGUUUUGUCCUCAUCUACAGGUGUAAAUUGAGUAAGAAAGCAACAGUGGUGAGAGAGAGAGAGAGAG